GCAGCCUUGUGUCUGCCAUUACAGGGAGAUCUCUGCCCCUUGGGGCUGAGAGACCCCAACCUACCCCAACUGAAGCUGCAAAACCUUGAGGUACCAGCCAGAUGUUUUCCCACAAAGGAUCUGUUGGGGCACAGGGCAAUGGGACUCCUGCCAGUAACUGGGAAAAUGACACAGUGGAACUGGCUGAACUGGGACCUCUACUAGAAGAGAAGGGCAAGCGAGCAAUCGCCAACCCAACCAAAACCAAAGACGAGCAAACAUGCCCUAUGCCUCAGGAAGAAGAGGAGGAGGUGCGCGUGCUGACACUCCCCCUGCGGGCCCACCAUGCCAUGGAGAAGAUGGAAGAGUUUGUGUAGAAGGUCUGGGAGGGACGCUGGAGGGUCAUCCCAUACGAUGUGCUCCCUGACUGGCUAAAGGACAGUGACUACCUAUUACAUGGCCAGAGACCACCCAUGCCCUCCUUCCGGGCUUGCUUCAAGAGCAUCUUCUGUAUCCACACAGAAACUGGAAACAUCUGGACCCAUCUACUUGGUUUUGUGCUCUUUCUCUUUUUGGGAAUCCUGACCAUGCUCCGACCAAGUAUGUACUCCGUGGCCCCACUGCAGGAGAAGGUGGUUUUGGGGACGUUCUUUCUGGGUGCAGUGCUCUGCCUUAGCUUCCCCUGGCUCUUUCACACUGUCUAUUGCCAUUCAGAGAAAGUCUCUCGGACUUUUUCCAAACUGGACUAUUCAGGGAUUGCUCUACUGAUUAUGGGGAGCUUUGUCACUUGGAUCUAUUAUUCCUUCUACUGCUCCCUACAGCCUCGGCUCAUCUACCUCUCCAUCGUCUGUGUCCUGGGCAUUUCUGCCAUCACUGUAGCAGAGUGGGACUGGUUUGCCACUCCUAAGCACCGGCAGACAAGAGCAGAAGUGUUCCUGGGACUUGGUUUGAGUAGUGUUGUGCCCACCAUGCACUUUACUAUUGCUGAGGGCUUUGAUAGGCCACCACUGUGGGCCAGAUGGGCUGGUUCUUCCUCAUGGCUGUGAUGUACAUCACCGGCACUGGCCUUUAUGCUGCUCAUGUUCCUGAGCACUUCUUUCCUGGAAAAUUCGACAUACGGUGCCAGUCUCAUCAGAUUUUCCACUCUUGGUGGUAACAGCAGGCUUCGUCCACUUCUAUGGGGUCUCCAACCUGCAGGAAUUCCAUUACAGCCUGGAAGGUGGCUGUACUGACAACUCCCUGCUCUGA